rnacentral:rRNA from 1 species
UCAGGGUGAACGCUGGCGGUAUGCCUAAAAUAUGCAAGUCGGACGGUCUUGUGCUUCGCACAAGAACAUUUAACCAUUGACCAUUGACCAUUGACUGGUGACUACCACUUUUGGUGGAAGAGAAGGGUUUCUUUCUCUUGUCACAUGUCAAAUGUUACAUGUUAAUUGUUCUCGCGCGGAGCGCGAGAUAGUGGCGAACGGGUGAGUAACGCGUAGGUAUCUACUCCUUAAUCGAGGAUAACCCCGCGAAGGCGGGGCUAAUACUGGAUAAUGCGCGCGCUUUGCGCGCGGCAAAGGAUGUAACUGUCCGUUAGGGAAGGAACCUGCGUCCUAUCAGCUAGUUGGUGAGGUAACGGCUCACCAAGGCGAAGACGGGUAGGGGGUGUGAGAGCAUGACCCCCCACAGUGGCACUGAGACACGGGCCACACACCUACGGGUGGCAGCAAUUAGGAGUCGUGCGCAAUGGGCGAAAGCCUGACGCCGCGAUACCGCGUGGAGGAAGAAUGCCGAGAGGUUGUAAACUCCUUUUCUCCGACGUAAUGUUGGAGGAAUAAGCACCUGCUAACUACGUGCCAGAAGCCUCGGUCAAACGUAGGGUGCAAGCGUUGCCCGGAAUCACUGGGCGUAAAGGGUUGGGUAGGCGG